rnacentral:tRNA from 1 species
GGGGAUUUAGCUCAGCGGUAGAGCGCUUGCUUAGCAAGUGCAAGGCCCUGAGUUCAGUCCCCA